rnacentral:lncRNA from 13 species
AUUUAAUGUUAAGUAUUUUUGAAACACCCUGUAUAAGUUCACAAUAUUUUGUAUUCAAAACUCAAAUGAAAAUGACUACGAAUUUACACUAAUGCAAAAAGAUCUUUUUUGAUGUUUCGUGAAUAUCUAUAUAUAUUCUCAAAGUUUAUUCCUUAAAAUCUUAAGUAUUUUGCAUAUAGAAAAAUAUUGUUAACCCACCAAAUGAAAAUGGAUUCCAAAUAUUUAAAAUGGAUAGAAAUAAAUACAAAAAAUCAAGAAUUUGGAUUCAGUAAUAAUCACACAAAUCCAUUUUUCUCCAAUUAAAGUUUAAGGGGGAAUUUGCUUUUUGGGUCAAAAAUAUCGAUUUUUUUUACAGAAUAUUUUAAUUUAACAUCUCUAGAACAUCUUCAGAAAAUUUUAUUUCGAAAUUCGUAAAACUUUCAAAAUUAUGAGUUAAUCUUAAUUGACCCGAGCGCAGGCCUUGAUGAAUCAUCAUAAACCGCUACUACAUGAAGAUGUUCAGCAAGCCAUAAAGCCAAUUUUCGAAGAUUUAUCACCAAGAGAAUUGUUAAAAAGAUGUUUGUGUUGUAAAACUCAAAAUGAUAACGAGAGUUUUGCGAUUCGUGACUAAAUAUUUUUAUUGUGAAUCAGAAAUAAUUGAAAUCACGGCUUAUUUAGCAACCGAAAUUUUUUAUGAAAGUUCUUAUGUUGUCCUUAAAACUAUAAUAACGAUAGGGAGAGUUAUAGAAGAAAAGCCAAUAUAUAUUCCGAAGAGCGACAUCAAUACCAGCUUGAAAGAUCAGUGCGGCGAAGCCUUGAGGCUCCAAAGAAGCUCGGACAAAGCGUAGAAGCAAACAAAUGGCUCAAAACCAAUUCUACGCAGAAGAGGAACGACUAUUAUAUGGCCCUGGAAUAGCUGAAUAACAGAAAAUCAUAUUACUUGGUAGAUCAUGCACAUCAGUAGAUGAAGAACUUUACGCGGCGUGAUAUUCAAUUAUAUAAAACUUCUCUAUUUAUAAUUAAAAAUUAAUAAAAAAAGCUAUACGUUUUUAAAACAUGGAUAAAAACAUGGUGCAAAUUCCAAAUUAAUUGAAUAUUUUGUUUCUGAAAAACAAUUCUUAAAUGUUAUUAUGUUUUUGGUCAAAAAAACCGAAUUUCCUCCUUAGAAUUCUUUGAAACCAUUUUAAUCCAUGAAGUGAUAUUGAAAUUAUGGAAUCUCUAUUUUUUUCAAUAAAAGAAAGUUAUAUGGGCCAUAUAAUUUAUUUUAAUUCAUGAAACGGGAUUGAAAUAAAGUAAUUUUUAUUUUUUCAAUCUGAAAAGAGUUUUUGCGAAUCAUACAAUCCAUUAUACAGGUAAUUCAUGACAUAAAAUUGAAAUGACUUCAUUGCUGUAUUUUAAUCCAAAAUGUAUUCAAAUGAAUUAAAAUGAAUUACAAAUUUUCCAUUUCGUUUACUGGGAAAUUUUAAUGUAGGUAUAGAAGUUAUUAGACAAUGAUUUGUUAUGUAAUUAACAUCGCUGUUUUAUUUGUUAACAUAUAUAAAGUAAUCCUACUAAUAUUAUUAGUAUUACAUAAUUUAUUCUUUAUAUUGAGUACUUAGCAAACAUAAAUAGAUUCCAAAAAUUAAAAA